GGGGAUUUAGCUCAGUGGCAUAAGCACCUGCCUUGGAAGCAGGCGGUCGUUGAGUUCCAUCCCCG
rfam:Cavia porcellus supercont2_4 genomic scaffold, whole genome shotgun sequence.